CCAACGGCUCUUUUAAGAGCCACCCACACAUUCUCUAAAGGAGCUG
rfam:Anas platyrhynchos breed Pekin duck contig23331, whole genome shotgun sequence.